GGAUGUGAGGAAAGAGGGACCCUCAUUCCUGGCCGUUCCAGCUGACUGGCAUCAAUCGUCCAAGAAGAGCAAAGGUUUCACCUCAGUGGUUCAGGUCUCUCGGAAGUCACGGAAGUCACGGCGGAUUCAGCCUGAGCUCACCAGAAUCACGUAGCAAAUGCGCAAUAGCCCUGAUGCUCUUUAACGCUCAAACUUCCUUCUGGCACUUCACAAGCCAGGCCAUCACCGUCUGCAUUUCCUUUGACACUCCCACAGAGCAGCUCACCAAGCUUUGAAUGCGUAAUGGUUUUUCUUACCCAAAGUUACAAAGUCCUUCCACAAACCACCCCCUCCAAAAAAAACUUGGUCAUAUCUGUCACAGCAAAACCCCACAAUCCUGGUACCAGUUUCUGCCCUAGUUAGGGUUUCUAUUGCUUCAAUGAAACACAGUGACCAAACGCAAGCUGGGGAGGAAAGGGUUUAUUUGGCUUACACUUCCACAUCAUAGUCCAUCACUGAAGGAAGUGGGGGAAGGAAUUCAAACAGGGCAGGAA
rnacentral:lncRNA from 1 species